AGCGAACGCUGGCGGCGUGCCUAACACAUGCAAGUCGAGCGAGAAAGGGGUGGCAACACCCUGAGUAAAGCGGCGAACGGGUGAGUAACGCGUGGGCAAUCUACCUUCCAGUCUGGGAUAACCUUCCGAAAGGAGGGCUAAUACCGGAUGAUGUCCUGUUGGGGCAUCCUGAGGGGAGCAAAGGGGCGACCCGCAAGGGGCUCUCGCUGGAGGAGGAGCCUGCGUCCGAUUAGCUAGUUGGUGGGGUAACGGCUCACCAAGGCGACGAUCGGUAGCCGGCCUGAGAGGGUGGACCGGCCACACUGGGACUGAGACACGGGCCCAGACUCCUACGGGAGGGCAGCAGUGGGGAAUCUUGCGCAAUGGGCGAAAGCCUGACGCAGCGACGCCGCGUGA
rnacentral:rRNA from 1 species